ACUCCUACGGGUGGCUGCAGUGGGGAAUAUUGGACAAUGGGGGGAACCCUGAUCCAGCCAUGCCGCGUGUGUGAAGAAGGCCUUAUGGUUGUAAAGCACUUUAAGCGAGGAGGAGGCUACUGAGACUAAUACUCUUGGAUAGUGGACGUUACUCGCAGAAUAAGCACCGGCUAACUCUGUGCCAGCAGCCGCGGUAAUACAGAGGGUGCGAGCGUUAAUCGGAUUUACUGGGCGUAAAGCGUGCGUAGGCGGCUUUUUAAGUCGGAUGUGAAAUCCCCGAGCUUAACUUGGGAAUUGCAUUCGAUACUGGGAAGCUAGAGUAUGGGAGAGGAUGGUAGAAUUCCAGGUGUAGCGGUGAAAUGCGUAGAGAUCUGGAGGAAUACCGAUGGCGAAGGCAGCCAUCUGGCCUAAUACUGACGCUGAGGUACGAAAGCAUGGGGAGCAAACAGGAUUAGAUACCCUGGUAGUCCAUGCCGUAAACGAUGUCUACUAGCCGUUGGGGCCUUUGAGGUUUUAGUGGCGCAGCUAACGCGAUAAGUAGACCGCCUGGGGAGUACGGUCGCAAGACUAAAACUCAAAUGAAUUGACGGGGGCCCGCACAAGCGGUGGAGCAUGUGGUUUAAUUCGAUGCAACGCGAAGAACCUUACCUGGCCUUGACAUACUAGAAACUUUCCAGAGAUGGAUUGGUGCCUUCGGGAAUCUAGAUACAGGUGUUGCAUGGAUGUCGUCAGCUC
rnacentral:rRNA from 1 species